rnacentral:rRNA from 1 species
GCAUCAUGAGUCCGCAUGUUCACAUGAUUAAAGGUAUUCCGGUAGACGAUGGGGAUGCGUUCCAUUAGAUAGUAGGCGGGGUAACGGCCCACCUAGUCUUCGAUGGAUAGGGGUUCUUGAGAGGAAGGUCCCCCACAUUGGAACUGAGACACGGUCCAAACUCCUACGGGAGGCAGCAGUGAGGAAUAUUGGUCAAUGGGCGAGAGUCUGAACCAGCCAAGUAGCGUGAAGGAUGACUGCCCUAUGGGUUGUAAACUUCUUUUAUAAAGGAAUAAAGUCGGGUAUGCAUACCCGUUUGCAUGUACUUUAUGAAUAAGGAUCGGCUAACUCCGUGCCAGCAGCCGCGGUAAUACGGAGGAUCCGAGCGUUAUCCGGAUUUAUUGGGUUUAAAGGGAGCGUAGAUGGAUGUUUAAGUCAGUUGUGAAAGUUUGCGGCUCAACCGUAAAAUUGCAGUUGAUACUGGAUAUCUUGAGUGCAGUUGAGGCAGGCGGAAUUCGUGGUGUAGCGGUGAAAUGCUUAGAUAUCACGAAGAACUCCGAUUGCGAAGGCAGCCUGCUAAGCUGCAACUGACAUUGAGGCUCGAAAGUGUGGGUAUCAAACAGGAUUAGAUACCCUGGUAGUCCACACGGUAAACGAUGAAUACUCGCUGUUUGCGAUAUACAGCAAGCGGCCAAGCGAAAGCGUUAAGUAUUCCACCUGGGGAGUAC